GGAAGGGACCCUUAAGGAUCAUCAAGUCCAACUCUUGACACCGCAAAGGUCUACCCAAAAGUGCAGACCAGGUGCCU